CGGAGGCCGAUGCCGCGCUUGUUUCCUUCUCUCUGUUGGUGUGUGCCCAGUUAUUCCACCCUUUGCAACCACCAGAGCAAAGGCGACAUUAUGGGUGUAAGUAUGUACAAGAACUAAGUAAAUGAUAAUAAGUGAAGAAAAAUGGAAUCCGUUAAGUAAAUGUAAAUGUUUUAAUAUAAUAUACAAGUAAAAUAAAUAAAAUAGCAGCGCCUUCUUUGCUUUUGAUGACACACAGCUGCUAAGUUCCAUUAUUCCGAAGCAGAAGGGGGCAGUAAUGUACAUACGCUGGUUGCCAGCCGCCGUUAAUACUCAAGUAAGUUAGAGAAAAUGCAAUUGGGGAAAGUGAGGAAAAAUAAGGGAUUAUUGGCUUGUUUUACACGUAUCAUUGUUUUGUGUUCCCCUCCUUCAUCAACCAAACAAUUCCACGUCAACUCAAACACGCAAAACCCCGGUAUGAAGCAUUGUCAUGAGCACGCCAAACCAACAGAUGGCGAUAUAUUCCUUAACCCAGAGAAGCCACUCCAGUCUCGUCUUGCCAUGAACAAGGAAAAAGUGCGGGAGCUGACUUCACAAGCGUCCGUGGUUCAGGUCAUUGGCACUGCUGUGGCAUGUACAUCUAGGAUGCGGCCUAUCCAGAUGAGAUUCACUCCAAUGCCAGCAAACCGACAGUGGAAGACACGAGCCAGCACUUCUCCCCCCACAUUGCCUCAGGCUUUUCAGAUAACCACUUAUAACUGCUCCCCCUUCAUGAGACCGGAUGCUAUGUUGGGAUCACCGGGGCCUCCAUCGCCCGGCAUGUACACGCUACAUCAGGUGUAGGUGAACAACAUCAGAGUGCGGCAGUCAGAGAUCCUAAAGAAGGACUCCAUAUGUUUAGUCGAGACAGUACACCGUACAUCUCUUAUGACGAGGAUAUUUGUGUCAGGACCGCUUUCCCGAUACUGACAAGGACAUUUAAGGUUCAAUGGACAACUUGCUUUCAAUGAAUGGUUAAUGUCUGUAGCCCUUUUCACACACACACAUUAUGGAAAAAAUACAGAGAACACAUCCGGGAGUUGUUCGGGAUUAUUUGAUUUUGGUUAAUUCACGCUGCCAAUAGUUUUCUGAAUUUGUUUGUGCUUUCACACACAUGCCAUAAAGACAUGACAUAUUUAAAGUCUUGCACUUGGAUUGUUUUUUUUUUUGUAGCAUCUGUAGUUUGCUUAUCCGUGAUUUCUCUCUCGAGAAACCACACGUGUAUGUUUUUGUUUGUGAUAAGAUCAUAAAGGAGUGCGUUACACCAGUGCUUCCCAAUCCUGGUCCUCGAGCACCCCCUCCAAAAAAGUUUUAGAUGUCUCCUUAUUUAACUCAUCAGCUUGUUAGGGAGACAUGUUUACCAUUUUGGAAAGAGGCUGAUAACUUGAAUCAGGUGUUUUAAAUAAGUUUUUGGGAGGGGGUGCUCGAGGACCAGGAUUGGGAAGCACUGAGUUACACGCUGUUUUGUUAUGCUGGUGAAUGUUCAUAGCUGAUAGUGCCGAGCCCCAUGAUUUCUUCUUCAGUCCAGUCUGCAGAUAUUUCUCAUUGUGAAUGUUAAUCUGCAUUUAAAUCUGCCAUGUCAAAGGGGAAAAGGCUAUAUUUUUGUCGUGAUGACACAAUAUUUAUGUUGACUAAUUAUCGACGUUGAAAUUGACACCGCCGAUUCUAUCGACCAAACGCAACAGCUCUGUCUAGCAUACACAUAAUUGCAUUCACUAACCUUUGCCUCAGGUUAUAAAUAACUUAAUAAUCACAACUAUCCACUACCUAAAAAGCUAUGAACAGCAGUCAUGCAAAUUUUCUCAAUUUGCUUUUCUAUGUCUACUAGCAAUUAUGUGAGCUGCAGUCUGGAUCCUGCCUUUGUCAGAUGACCUAACACAAAUGGAAAGAUGACAUCGGCCCUUGCAAGGACUUCAGACGAUGCCAGCACUGGACUACAUACAGUGGUAAUCAUGGGUGCCCAAACUUGUGCAUAUCACUGUACUGAUAUAUACUAUACAAAUAAUAUUUUCAGUAGUCCGUGUCAAAUUUUAUUUCAAGGUAAGAUAGCUUUACAUGUCUUUCAUUGUGCUUUAGUGAUCACACAGGCCCUGUUUAUGUUCUUAACCGGCAUGACUUUAUUUAUUGUGAUAUACACAAAACAAGAUAUUUUGAUAAAUGAUGUUAAGUACACAGCUGCUCAUUUACUUCAAUAAAAUUUAUUUUUCCUAUUAUGGAAGUCAAUGGGUACCAUCAACUGUAUGAUAUCAUUUAUCAGAUUAAAUAAUUUUUGGCAAGUUUAUAACAACAUGGAAGCGUUUGGGUGAGAUCUAGACCGAGGACUAAGGCGUAUACUAGGACAGAACUAAGUGUUGUGGCCCACAGGUGAUCCAAAAGCAACAAAGAGGAACCAUGGAGAGGAAGAAGUGGUGUCCAGAUGUUUAAAAGGCGGUGUUCGGGACAGGAAACAAAGGCAACAAAGAGGAACCUCUAAGGUUUAAAGGCACUGCUUGCAGAGACGAGUGUAGGAAACAAAGACAGAAGACCUGACGAGAAUGUUUUAUGAUUAAAUGUUUUUGUUAUGUACAUGCACGUUAUUAUUUACAAUAUAUUUCUAAGAUACAUAAGUAUGUGACCUUGUAUAUGAAAUCCAGGCUACUGUCUUAACAUCUAAUGACAUCUAAAGUUUGAAUUUACUGUUUUAACAUUGAGUUCAGUCUUUGGCAUGACCUUACUCAGUCAAUAUUGAAGAUGUCAAGAUUAUAUUUUCAGAGAAUGUUUUCUGUAUUGUGUAGGAUGAUUUUAUGUAGAAAACAGUAAGUCACAAAGAAAUACUUUACUGGGUUUUCACAGGCUGUGUCCCAUUUGUACAACGUAUGUGAAUUAUCUUGAGACUAAAACUUCUGAAAUCCAAACUGUUAUAUUUUAGCAUUUCAAAUGCAGCCACCCUUUGCCUAGAAUUUGAAAUGUAUACCCUUGAGUUUUUUUUCAGUAAUUUUUUUAGAUCUCACCCUGAGAUAUUUGUAAAUAAAUUUCCAUGUAUUAUGGGCUUGAAUUACUUAUUUUAUCAUUUUGUCCAAGUAAUUUGAAAAAAAAAGUUUUAAAUUAAAUUGUAGUUCUCAAUUGAAAUAAAUGUAUAUGUUGAGACAUUUUUGUCGACAAACGUAAUUGAAUCAUAUACCUUAAGAGUAUAUUAUUUUGAAGGUUAUAAGAAAUAUUUUAGUUAAGUGUUUAAAAACGUUUACACAGUAGUAUAGCAGUGUAUAAUAGUUACAGAAUAUGUAAUUUAUGUGUGACAUCUAAAUAUUAUGUUACUGAUUUAUCCAAGUUGUUUAUGUGUUAUAUUUGUCAAAUGAAUAAAUUUGCAACGGUUAUUGA